rnacentral:rRNA from 1 species
AGCGCACACGGUGGAUGCCUUGGCGGUCAGAGGCGAUGAAGGACGUGGCAGCCUGCGAAAAGUAUCGGGGAGCUGGCAACAAGCUUUGAUCCGGUAAUGUCCGAAUGGGGAAACCCACCCGCUUGCGGGUAUCCUGCAGUGAAUACAUAGCUGCUGGAAGCGAACCUGGUGAACUGAAAUAUCUAAGUAACCAGAGGAAAAGAAAUCAACCGAGAUUCCGUAAGUAGCGACGAGCGAACGCGGACUAGCCCUUAAGCUGGAUUGGUUCUAGGAAAAUGCUCUGGAAAGAGCAGCCAUAGAAGGUGAUAGCCCUGUAUCUGAAAGGGCCAUUCCAGUGAAGACGAGUAGGGCGGGGCACGUGAAACCCUGUCUGAACAUGGGGGGACCAUCCUCCAAGGCUAAAUACUACUGACCGACCGAUAGUGAACCAGUACCGUGAGGGAAAGGCGAAAAGAACCCCGGAGAGGGGAGUGAAAUAGAACCUGAAACCGUGUGCGUACAAGCAGUAGGAGCUCCGCAAGGAGUGACUGCGUACCUUUUGUAUAAUGGGUCAGCGACUUACUGUUCGUGGCAAGCUUAACCGUAUAGGGGAGGCGAAGGGAAACCGAGUCUGAUAAGGGCGCAUAGUCGCGGGCAGUAGACCCGAAACCGGGUGAUCUAGUCAUGCCCAGGGUGAAGGUGCGGUAACACGCACUGGAGGCCCGAACCCACUCCCGUUGCAAAGGUAGGGGAUGAGGUGUGAUUAGGAGUGAAAAGCUAAUCGAACCCGGAGAUAGCUGGUUCUCCUCGAAAGCUAUUUAGGUAGCGCCUCAUAUGUAUCCUCUCGGGGGUAGAGCACUGUUAUGGCUAGGGGGUCAUCGCGACUUACCAAACCAUUGCAAACUCCGAAUACCGAGACGGACUGUAUGGGAGACACACGGCGGGUGCUAACGUCCGUCGUGAAAAGGGAAACAACCCAGACCCACAGCUAAGGUCCCAAAUUUUGUGCUAAGUGGAAAACCAUGUGGAAAGGCACAGACAGCCAGGAGGUUGGCUUAGAAGCAGCCACCCUUUAAAGAAAGCGUAAUAGCUCACUGGUCGAGUCGGUCUGCGGGGAAGAUUUAACGGGGCUAAGCACAGAACCGAAGCUUGGGGUGCAUAACUUUGUUAUGCGCGGUAGAGGAGCGUUCCGUAAGCCGUUGAAGGUGGAUUGAGAAGUCUGCUGGAGGUAUCGGAAGUGCGAAUGCUGACAUGAGUAACGAUAAUGCGGGUGAAAAACCCGCACGCCGAAAGCCCAAGGUUUCCUUGCGCAACGUUAAUCGGCGCAGGGUGAGUCGGCCCCUAAGGCGAGGACGAAAGUCGUAGUCGAUGGGAAGCAGGUUAAUAUUCCUGCACCUCGCGUAAGUGCGAUGGAGGGACGGAGAAGGUUAGGUGUACCAGGCGUUGGUUGUCCUGGGGAAAGGCGGUAGGUUUGGAUCUUUGGCAAAUCCGGGAUCCUUUAAGACCGAGCACCGAGACGAGCCUUUAUGGCGAAGUCACUGAUACCACGCUUCCAGGAAAAGCUCCUAAGCUUCAGCUUACGCAGACCGUACCGUAAACCGACACAGGUGGGUAGGAUGAGAAUUCUCAGGCGCUUGAGAGAACUCGGGUGAAGGAACUAGGCAACAUGGCACCGUAACUUCGGGAGAAGGUGCACCCUUUUUGGUGGCUCGUGCGAGCUAUAGCUGAAGAGGGUCGCAGUAACCAGGCCGCUGCGACUGUUUAUCAAAAACACAGCACUCUGCAAACACGAAAGUGGACGUAUAGGGUGUGACGCCUGCCCGGUGCUGGAAGGUUAAUUGAUGGGGUCAGCCGCAAGGCGAAGCUCUUGAUCGAAGCCCCAGUAAACGGCGGCCGUAACUAUAACGGUCCUAAGGUAGCGAAAUUCCUUGUCGGGUAAGUUCCGACCUGCACGAAUGGCGUAACGACAGCGGCGCUGUCUCCACCCGAGACUCAGUGAAAUUGAAAUCGCUGUGAAGAUGCAGCGUUCCCGUGGCAAGACGGAAAGACCCCGUGAACCUUUACUAUAGCUUUACACUGAACGUUGAGUUCGUCUGUGUAGGAUAGGUGGGAGGCUAUGAAACUGUGGCGCUAGCUGCAGCGGAGCCAUCCUUGAAAUACCACCCUGUCGUGCUUGACGUUCUAACCUGGGCCCAUUAUCUGGGUCGGGGACCGUGUAUGGUGGGUAGUUUGACUGGGGCGGUCUCCUCCUAAAGAGUAACGGAGGAGCUCGAAGGUACGCUCAGCGCGGUCGGACAUCGCGCACUGUGUGCAAAGGCAUAAGCGUGCUUGACUGCAAGAUCGACGGAUCAAGCAGGUAGGAAACUAGGACUUAGUGAUCCGGUGGUUCUGUAUGGAAGGGCCAUCGCUCAACGGAUAAAAGGUACUCCGGGGAUAACAGGCUGAUACCGCCCAAGAGUUCAUAUCGACGGCGGUGUUUGGCACCUCGAUGUCGGCUCAUCACAUCCUGGGGCUGUAGUCGGUCCCAAGGGUAUGGCUGUUCGCCAUUUAAAGUGGUACGCGAGCUGGGUUCAGAACGUCGUGAGACAGUUCGGUCCCUAUCUGCCAUGGGCGUUGGAGAUUUGAGAGGGGCUGCUCCUAGUACGAGAGGACCGGAGUGGACGAACCUCUGGUGUUCCGGUUGUCACGCCAGUGGCAUUGCCGGGUAGCUAUGUUCGGAAGCGAUAACCGCUGAAAGCAUCUAAGCGGGAAGCGCGCCUCAAGAUGAGAUCUCCCGGGGCACAAGCCCCCUGAAGGAACCAUGUAGACUACGUGGUUGAUAGGUCAGGUGUGUAAGUACAGCAAUGUAUUGAGCUAACUGAUACUAAUGAUCCGUGCGGCUUGACC